UACGAAGGGGGCUAGCGUUGCUCGGAAUCACUGGGCGGAAAGGGUGCGUAGGCGGGUCUUUAAGUCAGGGGUGAAAUCCUGGAGCUCAACUCCAGAACUGCCUUUGAUACUGAGGAUCUUGAGUUCGGGAGAGGUGAGUGGAACUGCGAGUGUAGAGGUGAAAUUCGUAGAUAUUCGCAAGAACACCAGUGGCGAAGGCGGCUCACUGGCCCGGUACUGACGCUGAGGUGCGAAAGCGUGGGGAGCAAACAGG
rnacentral:rRNA from 1 species